rnacentral:rRNA from 1 species
GACGUAGGGCGCGAGCGUUGUCCGGAAUUAUUGGGCGUAAAGAGCUCGUAGGCGGCUUGUUGCGUCGACUGUGAAAACCCGCGGCUCAACCGUGUGGCUUGCAGUCGAUACGGGCAGGCUAGAGUUCGGUAGGGGAGACUGGAAUUCCUGGUGUAGCGGUGAAAUGCGCAGAUAUCAGGAGGAACACCAAUAGCGAAGGCAGCUCGCUGGGACGGUACUGACGCUAAGGCGCGAAAGCGUGGGGAGCGAACAGG